AACAAAAUAAAAAAAUGCCCAGCCAUGUAUUACUUAUCAUCACUAGGCAUAACAUAUUGGGAAGAGGUUUUGGUUAUUAGUUUUAAAUAUUAAAUUUAAAAAUUAAAAAUAAUAAGUUAAAAAAAUCUCCUUUAGGGCACUGGCACCGGGGUGCCCAGAUGCGCUGAACACCUAUCCUUGGCAGCCCACAUCCCUUUCCAAGGUCUGGCUGGCUUCCCAGCCCAGCCCUCGGACCCCUUGAUACACCAAGAAGCCAGAGAACACGGGCUAGAACACAGCGACUGUGGCAUCCACAAAAUCGUUGGACCUAAUAAUAGAUACGGACCCGCAUCCAAAAACCCCACAAGGGUACUGAGCGUGACCACCACAAGGCGGAUGUGAUUUAUCCAAACCAAGCGGCCGGCCUGCCUCAUGCCUUUAGAACCUUGAACACACAAGCGGAAAGCCUGGAGGCUUCUAUUUCCCCAUCACAGCCUCCUGGAGAUGGAGACGCAGCAAGCCCUGUGCUGCCCAGCGCUCACCAGCAAGCCGAUGGGAACACGGGGGCUCCAGGUGACAUGUGCGACGUACCAUGACAGAAGACCUGCUAAAUACCGUGCCUGCCUGUCUCCUGACCCUGCUGUCACUGUCUCAAAGUGGCCUUGAUGAGAAGGUGCACUACCAGCUUUUGGGGGACAGGCUGGGUAUAAAUACACACUUUUUUAAAAAAGCAGAUGCAGUGCUGUUUGACGCAGUCCUGGCUGAAAGCAAAAAUUGGAGAAUCAAUGAGACCUGUGUUUGAGCCGCUUACUGUGUGUCUUUAUGAGAGCGACUGCCCCUCUCUGAGCCCGUUUCCUCCAAUGAUCCACUGAGAAUUUAAUGAGCAUCAGGAGCCUUAAAGAGGAUCCAAUAUGUCAAGGGCUUAGUACAGCAUCUGGAACAAACUGAAAAGCUCAAUAAAACGAACUAUUGUGAGAAACACUAACCCUUUUAUCUCUGGGAGCUUCCUCACCUCAAGUCCUAAUUCUAGUCUAACCAUGAGAAAAACAUCAGGCAAACCCCAAUUGAGGGGCAGCCCUCAAAAUAACCGACCAGCACUCUCGAAAAACAAGGAAAGGCUGAAGCAUCUGUCCCCACCGAGAGAAGUCAACAGAGACAUGAUAACUAAAUGCACUGGGAGCGCAUGGGAGAGCCUGGGAUAGACAAAGGACAUCGGGGGGAAACUAAGGAAAUCAAAUAAAGCGUGGACUUUCAUAACGCAUAUAUCAUAUGGCUCAGGAGCGGUGACAGAUUUAUCAUGCCACCGUCAGAUGUUAGCCACGGCGGAGAGAGCGUGUGGGGUGAAUGCAAGCGAUACCGUCUCUGCAAUUUUUCUUUCCGUCUCGAACUGUUCUAACAUAAAAUGUUUAUUAAGAAACACGCCCUGCAGCUGCGGCUGCUGUUGUUACUAUUAUCACCACGAUGGACAGCCUGGACAGGCGCCCCUGAGGCUUGCAAGGGAAAUGGACAGAUCAGGGGACUGCAGGCGCCCUCGGCCGCUCUUUGGAUGCAGGGGGGUGAGCUGAUGCUGCCGAGGACGUCCUCCAUCCUGGGUACUUUCACACCGCUGGGACGAUUUUACAGAUAACUGAUAAUUCCCCGGUAAUCUGAGCACAACGAUCAGGGCUACAGCGGAGGAGAUUCCUGCAUGGGGUAAAGGCUGAGUUAGAUAGAAAGGAAAAAUUAAAGUCUCCACUUGAGGGAAGCUAGGAAAUCCAGCCCUAAGAGGUACAUUUAAGAGAACAUUAAGUAGAUGAAAAAGUUAUUUCUACGCGUAAACGCAGUACAAGAUGUACUGGGUGGUUCUGUUUGCAUGACAUCCUGGAAGAAGCAAGAACUAUAGGGACUGCAAUCAGAUCAGGGCGUGGGCGUGGGGCGGGGGAAGGGAAUGGUUACCGAGGGGCAUGGGGAAGGGGCGUGGGGGAACUUUUUGGGGUGAUGCAAAGAGUCGACGUUCUGAAUGUGGUGGCAGUUACUUGAUUGUUCACAGGUCAAAAUUCACAGCGCUGCCCGCUAAGAAGGGUCCACUUUUCUGAAUGUAAAGCACGGCUCAACCCGAAGAAAGGCCAGGCACGAAUGUCCCAGCGGACUGGGAAGAUGGUGAACAGAACGUAACCUUUCAGACGAAAUCAUACAAGACCUCUCAAGGCACUUCCUGAUGAUUUUCCAUACCUCAUUUUUUGGCAGGUAUAUAUAGAUCUGGGACUUGCCUUUUUUUCACAUAAUGUGACAUCGUGUGCACACCCCCUAUUCUGAAGAUCAAUCUUCAGAAUUACCGUUUUAGUGCCUAUUAAACAUCUGACCACCACCUCUUUCACCACCACGCCCACCGCCCCCUCCGCAGACAGUGUGGUGGCUUCACUUUAUGCUGCUAUAAACAACUGCACAAUGGACAUCCUUGUGAAACAUGUUUUCCCACCCCAUGUUUAGGAUUAUUUCCUUAGGCCAGAUUCCCAGAAAGGGAAUUACUGGAACAAAGGGUAAGAGCAUAUUUUAUGCUGUUGCCAAAUUGCUCUCAUUAAAGAGAAAUUAAAGAGAACUGGGGAGCCCUGGCUAAGACUGGGGGCCUUCAUCCUGGGCCACCGGCUUGGCUGGGUCCUGCUGGACGCUGCUCUGACCCAUGUGAGUUCAGAGCAAACGUCUGGUCCUUGGGGGCCCUCGAAGUAACUGCAUGGCAGGGGUGCUGGCGGCUCAGAAGUUUGCAUUGUGUCCUUCUGCAAAGGGGGGGGGGCAGGUAGCAUCCUUCUGCAAAGGGAGGGCAUCCUUCUGCAAAGGGAGGUCUGUUUUGCAAAGAGGGCUGCUUCUGUAAGGGGAUCCUUCUGCAAAGGGGGUCAUUCUGCAAGUGGGGUCCUAGCCCGUGGGGGUGCUGCUUUCCCAUGGGAGACGGGGACCAGGGAGGGGAUGCCUUUGUCCCUUGCUCUCAGGGACUGAUGAGGGGCCAGUGCAGGGGCCCUGGUGUUGCCAGACCAAGAGGAGAGACCGCCCCUCUGCUUUUGUUUCUGACGUGAGCUGCAGUCCUGUCCCCUCAACACCUGGAUCUGGGCUGCGGAAAGUGGACCCAGAGGGAACAUCAGCAUCCCCUUCAGGGCUGAUGCUGCAAACUCUGUGCUUUCCCAGACUUUACGCGUGGCAGAGCAGGCAGGGAGUGGGGUGACCGAGGCCCCCCGAAAUAGCCCCUGACCUCACCCCUAAUGCUGGUGCCAUGCAGCUUGUUUUUGCCUUGUGCUACCUUUCUGGGGAGCCAGCUCUCUGGGGCCCAGACCUGCCUGCUGGUCUCCGUGGGGACUUCUCUAAAAGCAAGUAUGAAGCAUGACAUGUGUGGCCCCAAGACGAGGCUCCAGGCCGAUUCCAGACAGAGGUCGGCAAGGCACCCUGCAUGGUUCCUGGGAGGGGAGAGAAGAGGGUCCCUGACCCCUAAACGAGAAGCUGGCCUGGAAACACCUUCCAGGGGCUGGCUCCCGAGGCCAGAGGAGGAUGGGAACCCUUGCCCAGCUGGGGACCUCCUGCCCCAGCAGGCGUGCCACACUGGGGACCCCCCCGGCACGACGUGACUCUCCAUGGAACUGCCCCACCGGCACGAGGAAGGACGUGCCUCCAGCCCCAUCCACAAACUGUGGCCUCUGAGGAGAGGGAUCAAGUCAGAGGGCAGGGGGGGCCCUUCCAGCCCCACGGUGGGCGGUCAACAACAACAAUGGCAAUAGCAGUAGUGCUGAUGCCAGAACCUGGGUGGUAGCACCACAGAGAGGUCUGGAUCAUGGGAGGGGGCUUCAACCCUCACCUCCUCCUGCUGCUUUUUAAAAAAUUUUUUCUUUUUAAGGCUGCACCUGUGGCAUAUGGAAGUUCCCAGGCUAGGGGCUGAAUCGGAGCUGCAGCUUUGACCUACACCACAGCCACAGCCACAGCCACACUGGAUCUGGGCUGCAUUUGCAACCUAUGCUUCAGCUUCGGGUAAUGCUGGAUCCUUAAUCCACCGAGCAAGGCCAGGGAUCAAACUCACAUCCUCACAGAGACAACAUCAGGUCUUUCGCCUGCUGAGCCACAAUGGGAACUCCAGGCUGCUUCUGUCUUGGCUGUAGUGAACAGCCUGCUGCAUGUUUUCUUCAGUGACACGGCAGGACACGCGCUCUGCCACCACCACCCACCCGAAGCCCCUUCCACAAAGAAAGGCACAGGUGCCCCUGGUUAACAUUUAUCAAGCCGUUACAGGUGCCCAGCAGCACGCUGAGGGCUUCCUAUGCUGUAUUAUCUCAUUUAACUGUACAACCACCCUGGGCUGGCAGGGAGCGGGGUGCUAUUUAUCCCUACCGAUCCACACGCGACAGAAGAGGAAACAGAAGCACAAAUUGGUGAUGAGAUUUUUACAAGUCCCUGCUUCUUAGAGACCCUGGAUUCAAUCUCACAUCCCCCCACACAGUGACCUUCACCUCUGCUCUCCUCAACUCCUCCAGCCAGAUCCAAACCCCAGCGUCUGGACCGGAGUGCAGGCACAUUGCCAGUGUGUGUGCAGAAAGGACCCAGCACGGUGGGGGUGGGGAAUGAGCCAGAAUCCACCUUCCCACUGCCACCCAGCCCUGCAGGUGCCCGGGCCACCUAUAGCUUAUCUCGGCCUCGAGGGCAGAAACCCACACACGCUCAUUCAGGAAAGGCCUGCCAAAAAAAAUUUUUUUUUUUUUUUGCUAUUUCUUUGGGGCGCUCCCGCGGCACAUGGAGGUUCCCAGGCUAGGGGUCCAAUCGGAGCUGUAGCCACCGGCCUACGCCAGAGCCACAGCAACGCGGGAUCUGAGCCAUGUCUGCAACCUACGCCACAGCUCACGGCAACUCCAGAUCCUUAACCCACUGAGCAAGGCCAGGGAUCGAACCCGCAACCUCAUGGUUCCUAGUCGGAUUCGUUAACCACUGCGCCAUGACGGGAACUCCCCAAAAUAUUGUGAUGCCCUCUUUAAUCCCAAUAAGGGGAAGUUGUACACAAAAGCAAACAGCGGGUAACGGUCUGGGGCUAGACUGACCAGUUUGGGCCCCGUCCCCAAGCAAACCUCCUUGAAUGCCUUUCCCCUUCCUCACCCCUCGUUUCCGUAAACCAAAGAUAACUGAGCAUAAGUGGACCUUUUCUUGUUGCCCUGGGCUGUUAUCACCAUUACCACCGUCCAUGGUACCAGGGAUGCUCUUGGUACCACUGAGGGGACCGAGAGCUCCCUGCGGGCCUCAGAGGUACCGAGCGUGUCUGUCUUCUCUAGACUCCAGGCAUUCUCUGGAUGCCAAACGGCUACUUCCUAUUGCUGCCCAAAUACCUCCCCUCACACUCAACCCUCAAAAGGUUACAGCUCUUCCGUUGCAGUCUGCGAAAGCAGAGAGCCAAGGCUGUUAGAAUUGUGUGUAAAGUAAAAGUUACUGGGUUUUGAGCAAGAAAACCUUUUAUGAGAGCAAUACACCCUUCUUAUGUUUUAUGACAUUCUGUUUGAUCCUCCUUUCCUGGGGGUAAUAAUUCUAAGUUCUUCACAAAUAAAGAACCCUGGAUUAGUGCUGCCCAAGAGAACCUUCCACGAUGACGGAAACGCACCGUAUCUGCACUGUCGGCUGCACGAGCCACCUGUGGGCUUCAGAGCACUUGACAUAUGGCGAGUACAAGGGUCACCUUGGAACCAAACACACGUGGCCGUUCAACAAGUAGAAGGUUGCACAUUCCGUGUACAACCCAGUGCCAGGGCCUGGGGAUGCGGCAGUGAAGGGAGGGACAUGGCCCUACAAUUACGGAGCGGACAGUCAGGGAGGCGAGAGAUGACCCAGGAGAAUGAGAGGGCCAGAUGGCCAGGAAUCUGCGUCCUUGGGUAUGGCACUUUUCAUCUGUGCCACUGGGCACCUCUGUCCGCUUAGCAACCUCUCAAGGACCAGAGAGCGAGUCUAAAAGGGAGCCUGGAUGGAGGGACUGGCCCAGCCUCCACCCGGGCCCAGCAGAGCGGGCAGCGGCCUGGGUAUCAAGCAUCCCUUCCUCCCAGUGUCAGGACCUUCCAGGUCUGUUGGUGCCCCUUUCCCACCUCCCAUGUCUUCAUGGCCCCUCUCACCUCCCUCAGCCCCCUGGAACCUACAACCUUCCCGGGAGGCAGGUAUCGCCACCAUCCCGUGACAGACCCCGUCCUGGCCUUUGCCUCUCACAGCCAAGUAGGGUAAAAAUCAGGGCAGGGGGUUCCUACCACAGUAUGAGAGCACCACACCACCCUCCAGCAGAACUGGGGACCCUGCUGGUUACCCCUGGACGGGACAGUACAGAGCAGGGGUGCGAGGAAGCUUCUGGAGGCCUGUACUGUUCUAGGUCCUGAUUCCGCUGGGAGUGACUUACAUGUUUAUUCGGUUAACAUGCAUCAGUGAGGACACGGCGUGGGCACGUUUUGGGAACUGUUCACGCUUCAAUCAAAAGCUUUUUUUUUUUAGGGCCACACCUGCAGCAAAUAGAACUUCCCAGGCUAAGGAUUGAAUUGGAGCCACAGCUGCUGGCCUACACCACAGCCACAGCAAUGCAGGAUCCGAGCUGCGUCUGCAACCUACACCACAGCUCAUGGUAAUGCUGGAUUCUUAACCCACUGAGCGAGGCCAGGAUUGAACCUGCAUCCUCACGGAUACUAGUCAGGUUCUUCCCUACUGAAUCACGAUGGGAAUGCGCCAAAAGAUUUUUUUUUAAAGUUCUGGGGUCAAAAACAGGCUUUACUCUUGGUUGGCUGUUUGGCCUUAGGCAGGUCCCUUGACCUUUCUGAGACUCCAAUUUCUCCCUUGUAAAAGUGACGUAGUUUUCACACCCACUAGGAGGGCUAAAUUUUUUUUCUUUUUUAAGGGCAGGAGCAGGUGUUGGAGAUGAUGUUGAGAUCGGAACGCUCAUACACGGGGUGGGAAUUGGGGGUGGGGGACCCACUUGGGAAAGCAGCCUGGCCGUUCUUCAGAAAGUUCAACAGUUUCCCUGUGACUCAUGCGGCAAAUUUCAUGGCAGGUGAAUUACACCACAAUAAAAUAGAUUCUGGUAUACAGAUCUCACAGGUUUUGUGAAGGGCAAUGAGGAGCUCGAUGCAAAGCCUCCUAGGAACUGCAGAGAGGUAACCCCUCUCACGGUCACCCAGAGAGAGCUCUGCAGGGGAGGACCUGAGAGAGAAGGCCCCGCAGGGCUGUGGACAGAGGUGGCAUGAGCUGAGGAGGCGUGUGUGAGCCCAGCUCCACACACAAGGCCAGGGGCUAAACGGGAGCUCCUUACACCCCAGCGAUCACAUUCAAGCUUCAACAAGAAGGAAGAAGGGGCUUUUAUACAAAUGCCCUCCAAGUCCUUCCAUCACCACAAAUCACUCCAAAAAGUCGGAUCAGAGAGGAGCAGUCCGGCUUGCAGUUGGCCUGGCGCCUGGGAGGUGACAGAGCAGCUCAAGA
ensembl:lncRNA